rnacentral:rRNA from 1 species
UNUGACUUGAGUGCAGAAGGGGAGAGUGGAAUNCCAUGUGUAGCGGUGGAAUGCGUAGAUAUAUGGAGGAACACCAGUGGCGAAAGCGGCUCUCUGGUCUGUCACUGACGCUGAGGCCCGAAAGCGUGGGUAGCGAACAGGAUUAGAUACCCUGGUAGUCCACGCCGUAAACGAUGAGUGCUAGGUGUUAGGCCCUUUCCGGGGCUUAGUGCCGGAGCUAACGCAAUAAGCACUCCGCCUGGGGAGUACGACCGCAAGGUUGAAACUCAAAGGAAUUGACGGGGGCCCGCACAAGCGGUGGAGCAUGUGGUUUAAUUCGAAGCAACGCGAAGAACCUUACCAGGUCUUGACAUCCCGAUGCUAUUCUUAGAGAUAGGAAGUUACUUCGGUACAUCGGAGACAGGUGGUGCAUGGUUGUCGUCAGCUCGUGUCGUGAGAUGUUGGGUUAAGUCCCGCAACGAGCGCAACCCUUAUUGUUAGUUGCCAUCAUUAAGUUGGGCACUCUAGCGAGACUGCCGGUAAUAAACCGGAGGAAGGUGGGGAUGACGUCAAAUCAUCAUGCCCCUUAUGACCUGGGCUACACACGUGCUACAAUGGUCGGUACAACGAGUUGCGAGCCGGUGACGGCAAGCUAAUCUCUGAAAGCCGAUCUCAGUUCGGAUUGGAGGCUGCAACUCGCCUCCAUGAAGUCGGAAUCGCUAGUAAUCGCGGAUCAGCACGCCGCGGUGAAUACGUUCCCGGGCCUUGUACACACCGCCCGUCACACCACGAGAGUUUGUAACACCCGAAGUCGGUGAGGUAACCUUUUAGGG